rnacentral:lncRNA from 1 species
GAUGUACAAACGACAUGAGAAUGGCUGUUGGUACUAACACUAGAAGUGGAAACCUAGGACACUGGCAAUGGACUAGUAUAGGUAUCCUGUUUGAAACAAUAUUUUCCCUUUUUUUCUUCUUAAAAAAAUAGUUAAUAUAAAGUAUAAACGUUAUAUGAAGAUUUUGACAGAACGGCAGAUAUAUUUCUACAAUAUCUUUAAAUAGCAUUAACUGCCAAACUUAAACCUACUGAUUUGACUCAAACUCCGAAAUUUGAUUUAUUACAAACAUAAACCUUUACGAUAAUUUAAAAUGUUCCAUGAGAACAAUUAUCAUUGUUUUUAAUUUUAAUAUCAUAUUAACCCAAUAAAAUCCUCAUGGACUUUUCCAGUCUCACAUAUCAUUGAACAUAUCAACACAGUUGGAUAUAGGAUAUCAAUCCAGG